UGAAGCUUAAAGCGUUAGCCUUUUAAGCUAAAGUUAGAGGUAUAAAACCUCCAUAGUGA
rnacentral:tRNA from 1 species